rnacentral:rRNA from 1 species
AACGAACGCUGGCGGCAGGCUUAACACAUGCAAGUCGAAGGUGAAGCGGGGCUUCGGGCCCCGUGGAAACUGGCGCACGGGUGAGUAACGCGUGGGAAUCUGCCCUGGGGUGGGGAAUAACCGCUGGAAACGGCGGCUAAUACCGCAUACGCCUUCAGAGGAAAGCUUUAGCGCCCUGGGAUGAUCCCGCGUCGGAUUAGCUUGUUGGUGAGGUAACGGCUCACCAAGGCGACGAUCCGUAGCUGGUCUGAGGGGAUGAUCAGCCACACUGGGACUGAGACACGGCCCAGACUCCUACGGGAGGCAGCAGUGGGGAAUAUUGGACAAUGGGGGAAACCCUGAUCCAGCCAUGCCGCGUGCGUGAAGAAGGCCCUAGGGUUGUAAAGCGCUUUCGGCGGGGAAGAUGAUGACGGUACCCGCAGAAGAAGCCCCGGCUAACUCCGUG